UACGUAGGGUGCAAGCGUUUGUCCGGAAUUAUUGGGCGUAAAGAGCUCGUAGGCGGUUCGGUAAGUCGGAUGUGAAAUCUCCACGCUCAACGUGGAGGGGCCAUUCGAUACUGCCGUGACUCGAGUCCGGUAGGGGAGUGUGGAAUUCCCGGUGUAGCGGUGAAAUGCGCAGAGAGUCGGGAGGAACACCCGUAGCGAAGGCGGCACUCUGGGCCGGUACUGACGCUGAGGAGCGAAAGCGUGGGGAGCGAACAGG
rnacentral:rRNA from 1 species